rnacentral:rRNA from 1 species
GGAAUAUUGGACAAUGGGCGCAAGCCUGAUCCAGCCAUGCCGCGUGCAGGAAGAAGGUCCUAUGGAUUGUAAACUGCUUUUAUACAGGAAGAAACAACGCUACGUGUAGCGUCUUGACGGUACUGUAUGAAUAAGGACCGGCUAACUCCGUGCCAGCAGCCGCGGUAAUACGGAGGGUCCAAGCGUUAUCCGGAAUCAUUGGGUUUAAAGGGUCCGUAGGCGGCCAAAUAAGUCAGUGGUGAAAGCCCAUCGCUCAACGAUGGAACGGCCAUUGAUACUGUUUGGCUUGAAUUAUUAGGAAGUAACUAGAAUAUGUAGUGUAGCGGUGAAAUGCUUAGAGAUUACAUGGAAUACCAAUUGCGAAGGCAGGUUACUACUAAUGGAUUGACGCUGAUGGACGAAAGCGUGGGUAGCGAACAGGAUUAGAUACCCGAG